rnacentral:rRNA from 1 species
UACGAAGGGGGCUAGCGUUGUUCGGAAUUACUGGGCGUAAAGCGCGCGCAGGCGGCUAUCCAAGUCAGUGGUGAAAGCCCGGAGCUCAGCUCCGGAACUGCCAUUGAAACUGUUUAGCUUGAGGAUGAGAGAGGUGAGUGGAAUUCCCAGUGUAGAGGUGAAAUUCGUAGAUAUUGGGAAGAACACCGGUGGCGAAGGCGGUCUCCUGGGGCUAACUUGACGCUGAGACGCGAAAGCUGGGGGAGCGAACGGG